CCUGCGGGGGGCUGCAGUGGGGAAUAUUGGACAAUGGGCGAAAGCCUGAUCCAGCCAUGCCGCGUGUGUGAAGAAGGCCUUCGGGUUGUAAAGCACUUUCAGUGGGGAAGAAAGCCUUGGGGCUAAUACCCUCGAGGAAGGACAUCACCCACAGAAGAAGCACCGGCUAACUCCGUGCCAGCAGCCGCGGUAAUACGGAGGGUGCGAGCGUUAAUCGGAAUUACUGGGCGUAAAGCGCGCGUAGGCGGUCUGAUAAGCCGGUUGUGAAAGCCCCGGGCUCAACCUGGGAACGGCAUCCGGAACUGUCAGGCUAGAGUGCAGGAGAGGAAGGUAGAAUUCCCGGUGUAGCGGUGAAAUGCGUAGAGAUCGGGAGGAAUACCAGUGGCGAAGGCGGCCUUCUGGACUGACACUGACGCUGAGGUGCGAAAGCGUGGGUAGCAAACAGGAUUAGAUACCCCGGUAGUC
rnacentral:rRNA from 1 species